rnacentral:rRNA from 1 species
GGAUCCAGACUUUGAUUAUGGGCUCAGGAUGAACGCUAGCUACAGGCUUAACACAUGCAAGUCGAGGGGAAACGACAUCGAAAGCUUGCUUUUGAUGGGCGUCGACCGGCGCACGGGUGAGUAACGCGUAUCCAACCUGCCCACCACUUGGGGAUAACCUUGCGAAAGUAAGACUAAUACCCAAUGAUAUCUCUAGAAGACAUCUGAAAGAGAUUAAAGAUUUAUCGGUGAUGGAUGGGGAUGCGUCUGAUUAGCUUGUUGGCGGGGUAACGGCCCACCAAGGCAACGAUCAGUAGGGGUUCUGAGAGGAAGGUCCCCCACAUUGGAACUGAGACACGGUCCAAACUCCUACGGGAGGCAGCAGUGAGGAAUAUUGGUCAAUGGACGAGAGUCUGAACCAGCCAAGUAGCGUGCAGGAUGACGGCCCUAUGGGUUGUAAACUGCUUUUAUAAGGGAAUAAAGUGAGUC